GGAAAUAUGGAAGAAAGGCCCACACGUCGGGAUUACAUAGAGAUAUCAACGCACCGCGCGAUUUUCUACCAUCUAGAAGACUCCAGAAGCCACAUGAAGAAAGCGGAGGCCGAAAGGGGCCAGGCCCAGGGCGCCCGCCCUGAGGACCUGGGCGCCCACCCCCCUCUGGAUGCCUUUCGGGACUCUCUUCGCACACAAUGUUCCACCGACCUAAUGGAUCAAAGAUAAUGUAGUACCACCUCGCCUACCGACCCAAAAACGCAUAGAGGAGGAGGACUAUAUAAGGAGACCCCCCGGCCCCUGGAGAAGACAAGAAGUUAUCAUAGAGAUUGAGGGGUGCCCUCGAAGGAAAACCUCUUCUCUAAAUAAUAUUUCUUUUUAGGCUUAGCAACCAAUGUAAGUAGAAAUAGAUCUUCUAGUUUCUACUAGAUUGAGAGAGAUAGAGUGGAGGUGUAGAUCGGAGGAAGGCCGGCCUGUCGGUGUCUACUCCGAGUUGUACCUACGGGAUCAAGUCUUCUAACCCAAGGCUUGCUUCUAAGAUUCUUCAGUAAUUCGACUUCUAAUUCUAGUAAGUUCUUGUUUUAUUGUUCUUUGGUUUAUGAGUUUACUUUAAUCCUCUUCCGGUUGAGUAUUAGAGUAAUCAUUGCUAGCGUAAACGUGGUGUUUAGGUUAGGGUACUCAUAGAUAUCCCCUGACUAGCUGGACCGUGGUAGUAGCGAGGAACGUGAUAUUUCGGAGUUACCUUUGUAUCCCAUAUCUUGUUAGCAGGACGGGUAGGUUUAUAGGUGCGGGUCGAACAUCCUUUGUGUUGUCUAGAUUUCAUGAGCCUCCCCAAUAGAAUAGUAGAUCAUCCUUACCAAGGUUAGAACGAGACUACGGUUGCAGUCUUCUCUAUACAUCACUCACAUCUAGAAACAUUCUUUGUAGCCUAAAGGGAUAGUAGCAAUAGAUUUGGUUAGUGUGGGGGUAUAAACCCCUAUACCCUUAUGGCUAGACUUGGGCCAGGAGGCUUGGCCCAUUACGAGAUAAGCUGAAGGCUUGAUCCGACAGCUUGGAGUUUCGCGCAAGGAAACAUGACAUGGAGAUCAAGUAGGAUUCUAGUCGGUUAGAAUAGGAAUUGAUAUGGAACUAUCUAUGGCAAUUGUAACCGACUAGGAUUAGUUCCCAGAUCUGUAACCCUGCCCUCUGGACUAUAUAAGGAGGGGCAAGGGACCCCCCUAAGACACAAUAUUCUCUCAACAUAAAUCAAUACAACCAGACGCAGGACGUAGGUAUUACGCCAACUCGGCGGCCGAACCUGGAUAAAAAGCUUGUCCAUGUCUUGCAUCACCAUCGAGUUCGUAGUUUGCGCACCGUCUACCAAUAAACUACUACCGUGGGUAUACCUCAAGGUAGACUGCCGACCAGCUUUCGUCGACAGUGGUGCGCCAGGUAGGGGGUGUGCGUACAACUUCUCCGACGAGCAAGAUGGUCAUAGUUCCAGAUUCCGCGGCCGUGCCUGAAGGCCUCACGUUCACCGUCGGCCAGAUCACAUGGAUGACGCGCGGCGGUGGUCUCAUGACCACGGUUUCGGAAGGAACCCAGAUCCAAUCUGGGAUCACGUCAACUCCGACCACUCGGAUGACGGCAUCGAGCGCCCGACCACCGCUCCCGCUCUACAAGGGGAAGAAGAUCGACUGCUCGGACCUUCUCCAAGCACUUGAUCGCGCCGAUUCCAAGCUACUUGAAGCUUCCCAACUAGUAGAUGGAAUCUUGCGCCAGCCUGAUCAAUCCGCCCCAACGGAUUUUUUCAAAUCCCACCGGCCAACUCGUGUCGUUACACACGAACGGCUGGGAACGUCUCUGACGAUAACCUCAACUCCCUCAGGACGAUCCGUCAAGAUCAAGGCUAACCUGGAGGAAGAUUAUCCCUUUUCAACAAGGCGGGUUGGCUGCCAAAGUGGAACGGUCGACCUGCUCGUCACUACGUCAACAUGGUGACGAUCCGAGAACUACGGGACGACCAGGCUUCCAGCACAAAUUCGAGCACUGGUUCCGUCCCCACCGAAGUCAUAAACUCCGAAGACGAGGACUACGACCUGGAUUUGCCUUCACAUCCUCCGGGCUUCUCUCGUUUCCCGGUCUUCCCACCCCGGCGAGGAGACAUCGUUUUCAAUGUCAGCGCCGACGAGCCAGUCGUUGAUGGAGAAACAGACGAGCAGAGGCAGCUCCGCGAGCAGCGUAACGCCGAUCGCGCCCGACGACACGCAGACGAGGAACGUCAAAUCCCGCCGCAUAAUCUCAGUGACGCUUUCGACAUGGUCGGGGAUCAGCCAGUUUAUAAAACGCCAAGCGCCAAUGUGGCCGUCGCCAUGGCCAAUUUAGAUCGGUUUCCUGAUACUCCCGAGUGCCGGGGCGUCCGAACUAGCGUUCGGGCACAUCUGAUCGCCGCGAUGGGACAGACAGCCACUCUACUCAAAAGAGUCUAAGCCGUCUCCUAUACGGAGGCCACCUCCGACCAGACUCACCGCAGCCGGACCUCACCGCAGCCCAGUAGGCACCACCGCAGCCGUUCCCCCGACAAUCAUCGAAAAGAUUCACGGCGUGACGACGGCGGUCGGGAUACCGGCGGUCACCGCGAGCAGAGUCGCAGGCGUGGUCAAGAAGUAAACCAGUACAUGGAUCUUCGACACAACAUCCCUCCCAAAGACGCCCGGGACCGUAUCAACAGGCGCGCCACGGAGAGAGCAGUUCACGAAAGCUUGCGUCGUAUUGAGUACGAUGCAACGCACGGCCCCCCGGGCCUGAAGCAGUUCUCUUCACACCUCCGCCAGGUCAUGUGGCCGUGAAAUUUCAAGCUUGAGAAACUCAAAAAAUACGACGGCAAGGAAAACCCAGAGAACUAGAUCACUCUUUACGAGAUUGCCGUCUGAUCAGCAGGAGGAGAUGAGCACGUCAUGGCCAACUACUUUCCAGUAGUCCUCGACCAGGCUGGUCACCAGUGGCUCCUAGGCCUGCCCGAGGACUCUUGCGACUCCUGGGAAGAACUACGCCAAGCCUUCAUCGACAACUUCAUCGCCACCUGCGAGCAGCCUGGGAACAAGUAUGACCUCGAAAGGAUAAGAGAUAGGAAAAACGAACCUCUGCGCGACUACAUCCGACGAUUCUCGGAUAUGCGCCUUAAGAUCCCGAAGAUUUCCCACGACGAGGCUAUAUCUGCUUUCAUCAAAGGGCUGCGCUUCCACGAAGCGCUGAGGAACAAGCUACUGCGCAAAAGGCCAACAACGAUGACAGAGCUCCUCGCCAUGACCAAAAAUUAUGCCGACGCCGAUGACGCAGAAAAACUCAUCCGAGAUGACACCAGAGGUCCCGACCAGCCUUCUCGGCGUGACGAUAGUCGCGGCCGUUUCGACAACAGGAACCAUCGCCGCCCCGAUAACUGGGACCAGAGAGAGGGCUGGGACAGGCGCCGCGACAACCGCGACGAUUUCAGAGGCAAGCGCCCUCGCGAUCACGACCACGAGGUGAAUACGGUCAAACGCCCCAACGGACGGCGGGAUUACCAAGAAGACUACAACAAGACGUUGAAGGGACCAUGCCAACUGCACCCAAAAUCCAACCACACCAUGGAAGAAUGCUACGUCCUCAAAGGCAUUUAUACGCGGCGUGCUGCUCAAGACAAUCCCUCCAAGAAAAACGGGAAACAAGAUGGGCGCGAUCAUGAAGACGAGGACGAAGACCAGGAUAGGGACCCACGACACCAGUAUGUCAGUCCUACUGACAUGGUCUAUUCCAUCUUCGGAGGCAAGGUCUCCAUCGAGUCUAAACGAGAAAGAAAGCUCUUAAAGAGAGCCUGCCUCAACAUAGACAGCAUUGAUGGUCUGAUCGCCGACCCAAAAUUUCCUCCCUGGUCGCACAGGGAAAUCUCCUUCAGCAGGAAGGAUCAGUGGGCCGCUAUCCCGGAACCGGGUCGUUUCCCUCUAAUCUUGGACCCUUGCAUCAACAGCAUCAGAUUCGAGCGCGUGCUCGUGGACGGAGUAAGCUCCAUUGACAUCCUCUUCCGCAACAGCCUGCCCGCUCUCAAGAUAUCUCCGGCACAAUUAAAACACUACGAUGCUCAAUUCUAGGGAGUCUUGCCAGGUCAGAGUUCAGUGCCCCUCGGACAGAUAACAUUGCCUGUCCAAUUCGGCAUGCCCGACCACUUUCGGACAGAGUUCGUCAACUUUGUGGUCGCCGACUUUGAUGGGACCUACCACGCUAUACUGGGCCGACCAUCGCUGACAAAAUUCAUGGCGGUCCUGCAUUACUCAUACCUGGUCCUCAAAAUCCCUACGGAGAAGGGCGUCCUGACUGUCAGAGGCAAUGUCUACACUGCAUAUACUUGUGAGGAGGAGAGCUUCAAGAUCACCGAAGCAAUUGAUCUCUCAACCCGGAUGGCAGAAACAGCAACCCAAGCCGCACAGCUACCUCCCGACCAGCUCCGCCUACCCGAGCAGGAGACCGCCAGGAAGAAUUCAAAAUCUAAGGAGCAUAAAGAAGUACAACUGGUCGACGGCAGUCCCGAGAAGACGGCCCUCAUCGGGGCCAAUCUGGACCCCAAAUAGGAAGACACGCUCGUCAGAUUUCUAAGGGACAACGUGGGCGUUUUCGCAUGGAAACCCGCAGACAUGCCCGGCGUCCCACGAAAUCUGAUCGAGCACUCCUUAAACGUCUCGAAGACCGCAAGACCAAUCAAGCAAAAGCUGCGACGGUUCGCUCGUGACAAAAAGGAGGCUAUUAGGACAGAAAUAACACGGCUUCUAGCAGCCGGAUUCAUAAAAGAAGUGUAUCAUCCCGAUUGGCUUGCCAAUCCAGUUCUUGUACACAAAAAGAAUAAUGAAUGGAGAAUGUGCGUUGAUUACACUGAUCUCAAUAAACACUGUCCUAAAGACCCUUUUGGUCUCCCUCACAUCGACGAGGUGGUCGACUCAACGGCCGGAUGCGAACUCCUCUCUUUUCUAGAUUGUUACUCUGGUUAUCACCAGAUCUCGCUAAAGGAAGACGAUCAGAUAAAAACGUCUUUCAUUACUCCUUUCGGCGCAUACUGCUACACGACCAUGUCAUUCGGACUCAAAAACGCCGGAGCCACCUAUCAACGGGCCAUCCAGCAAUGCCUCCACGACGAGAUUCGUGAUGACCUCAUCGAGGCCUAUGUAGACGACGUAGUCGUCAAAACAAGGGAUGCAAGCACCCUAAUCGACAACUUAGACCGAACCUUUAAGGCGCUAAACAGGUACGAGUGGAAGCUUAACCCCAAAAAGUGCAUCUUUGGCAUCCCUUCCGGUUUACUACUCGGCAACAUCAUCAGCCGCGACGGCAUACGGCCGAAUCCUUCAAAGGUAAAAGCAGUACUCGACAUGCGACCACCUAAAAAUGUCAAGGAUAUUCAGAAGCUCACCGGAUGUAUGGCCGCACUCAGCCGCUUCAUCUCAAGACUAGGAGAAAAAGGCCUCCCUUUCUUCAAACUCUUGAAGGCGUCGGAAAAAUUUUCUUGGACAGAGGAAGCUGACGCUGCGUUCACCCAGCUUAAGACUUUCCUCACUUCACCGCCUGUCCUUACAGCGCCUCAGCCCAAUGAAGACCUACUCCUUUACAUUGCUGCAACCGACAGGGUUGUUUCCAUGGCAAUAGUGGUCGAGCGAGACGAGCCAGGUCAUGUCUACAAGGUCCAGAGACCCGUUUACUUCAUAAGCGAAGUCCUAAACAAGUCAAAGGCCAGAUAUCCACAAAUACAGAAGCUCAUAUAUGCCAUUCUAAUAACAUCGAGAAAGCUAAAGCACUAUUUUGACGGCCACCGAGUCUUGGUAACCACCAGUUUCCCUCUUGGGGAUAUUCUGCGCAACAAAGAUGCCAACGGCAGAAUUGUAAAAUGGGCAAUGGAAUUAUGCCCGUUCUCCCUGGAAUUCCAGAGUCGCACCACAGUCAAGUCUCAGGCCCUGGUCGAUUUCAUUAUAGAGUGGACGGAACUUAAUGAGCGUCCCGUUCCCGACGUCUCCGACCACUGGUCGAUGUUCUUCGAUGGGUCCUUAAACAUCAAUGGUGCCGGCGCUGGGAUACUUUUCGUGUCGCCUAACAAGGACAAACUACGUUACGUCCUUAGGAUCCUCUUUCUGCCAUCCAACAACGUCGCCGAGUACGAAGCAUGCCUGCACGGCAUACGACUAGCCGUUGAGUUAGGAGUCAAACGCCUCUAUGUCUAUGGCGACUCUGCUUUGGUUAUCAACUAGCUCAACAAGGAAUGGGAUGCAACCCACGAGAAGAUGGAUCUCUACUGCAAAGAAAUUCGCAAGUGGGAAACCAACUUCUACGGCAUUGAAUACAUUCACGUGGUCCGGGAUAAGAACCAGGCGGCAGAUGCGCUGUCAAAGUUAGGGUCAUCUCGGGCACCGAUCCCGCGAGGUGUUUUCGUCCAGGAUAUCCACGAGCCAAGCGUGGGCACAGGCCUGGUCGAAAAGCAACCUACUGAGGCAAUGCUCAUAGAUGACACUACUCCGGCAACCAGUGGCCGUGAUUGGCGCACCCCGUUCAUCAAAUAUAUAUCGGACGGGUCAGGCUAUCAGGACAAAACAGAGAACGAGCGCCUUAUUCGAAGAUCAAAGAAUUACAUACUGGUGGAUGGCAAACUUAUGUGAAAAAAUGCAAGCUCUGAAGUGCUACUCAAAUGCAUAUCCCAAGAUGAUGGCAUCAAGCUCCUAGAAGACAUACAUGCCGGAUCCUGCGGCAAUCAUGCUGCCUCCAGAACACUGGUCGGGAAAGCUUUCCGGGCAGGUUUUUACUGGCCAACCGCGGUCAACGACGCAGAAAAAUUGGUCCGACACUGUGAGGGAUGUCAGUUCUUCGCUAAAAGGACCCACAUACCUGCUCAUGAGAUUCAAACUAUCCCGUCGUCCUGGCCCUUCGCCUGCUGGGGGCUCGACAUGAUCGGGCCAUUUAAACCAGCCCCUGGCAACUUCAAGUUCGUUUUCGUAUUAGUCGACAAGUUCUCAAAGUGGAUUGAAUACAUGCCACUGGUCAAAGCAACCUCCAAGAAGGCCGUGGAGUUCCUCAAUCAAAUCAUACACAGAUUCGGGGUUCCAAACAGUAUAAUCACCGACCUGGGUACUCAGUUCACUGGCACUACAUUUUGGGACUUCUGCGAUGACAGAGGCAUAGUCAUAAAAUACGUGUCAGUAGCUCACCCACGGGCAAAUGGCCAGGUUGAGCGCGCGAACGGAAUGAUCAUUGACGCCCUAAAGAAAAGGUUGUACACUGAGAACGACAGAGCACCUGGUCGAUGGAUGAAAGAGUUACCGGCUGUGGUCUGGGGCCUCCAAACUCAGACUAGUCGGAACACGGGGGUGUCACCCUAUUUCAUGGUUUACGGCACCGAGGCAGUUCUGCCGUCUGAUAUAACCUUCGGUUCUCCCAGAAUUGAAAACUUCGACCAGCCAACAGUCGACAGCGCCAGGGAGCUCAAAAUUAACUGCAUGGAGGAAAAGCGUCUAAACUCAUGUCUCCGAACAGCAAAGUAUCUUGCAGCCAUCAGACGGUAUCACAACAAGAACGUCAAAGACCGUUCUUUCGUGGUCGGCGAUCUGGUACUCAGAUGGAAAACAAGCCAGGAAGGAAUGCACAAGCUGUCCACUCUCUGGGAAGGACCCUUUGUGGUCGCCGAAGUCACACGACCCACAUCCUACAGAUUGGCAUAUCCAGACGGAACACGCGUGCCCAACUCUUGGCACAUAGACAAAUUGCGCCGAUUUUAUCCAUAAGUUCUAGUAACUUUUGCUUGUAAGUCUUUUAUAGUUGGCAAUAAUAAAAGUUUUCCUUUUUUGCUAUACUUUGUUCACACGCAGAGCUUUCGACGAGAACAACAAAGACCUCUGCGAUGGAGAUUCUUAACGACCAACAAUCGAACACAGUGAUACAUCACUCAGAUAACUUCACAGCACUCAAAAUAAUAGUCAUGACAAAAUCAAAUUUUAUUACAAACUUUACAUACAAAGUUUACAAUAAAACACCCUGACGGGCGGUCACUAGUCUACUCCUACGGACUAUCCUACUAGGCCUACUGCUCGGGCUGAUCACCCGCCUGGCCUUGCUGCCCGGACGAAGGGGUCGGGGCCACCGGCGCCUGGCUGGUCGAGACCGCAGGCGUCGACCGCCCAUCUCCGACAAGGGACGCCCCUGACAACUCUCUGGCUGACCUGUCCAAACCCGGCUGGUCGGGGGGAGUGGCCGUCCCGCAUAGAUUGAUGUCGCCGAUCACCGUCGACGACAAGUCUAGCAGUCCAGCCCGAAGCUCGUCCGCCUCCUGCGGGCCGACUUCCUUGGGAUACCCCUUCUCCAGCCUGGACAAGUCGACUAGGGGGUAGUGGGCACGCACCAUGCUGAGGAUAUGCGCGCCAGCAAACUCUCCGGCGUCCUUCACGAACUGCUGGAGCCAGUCCCACGCCCGUUGCGCCUUUUCAACUGGCGUCAGUCUCGGCGCGCGGGGCUGGCUCUCCGGAAGCUCGGGGCUGAUCAAGUCCAGGACCGAGGCUACUCCUUUCCAGAUCCUACAGCAAUUAACCUUCCAGGAGUCCCCAUCCUUGACCAGCUCGUCCAGGUGCUUCUUGGUGUUGACCUUGAGCACUGCAAAUCAAGCAAGAUGUUAGUCUCAACAUAUCGCUUUGGCGCUUGGCUGCUCUCUGCCGGCAGCGUCGGCGUAGGCGAAGGAUCUGCUGCCAACGGCCUUUUCCCCGCCACUCUCUCCUCGGUGGUCGGGAUGGGGCGGGCUUGGUCCUCCUCACUGCUGGUGUAACGAGUACACCGAGCAGCGUCUUCCUCCGGCGGAUCUUCCCCCGUAGGAUUCUCCAUCCCAGGUGCCAGUGACACAUACACUGUGCACCGGUCAACAUCUCCGAUCUGCAAGAGUAACAAAGACAAGUCAGCAGCAGACAAUAACAAAUGCUAAGGAGAAAUAAUUAGUAAGAUACCUUAGGUGCUGGUCGCCCCAACUUGAAGGCUUGCACCCGAUCACUACCACGGACGAAGCCCCCGUCCGCAAAGUUGAAUAGCUCGUUCAACAGCCGCUGCACCUCUGCCUUCUCCAAGACCUCAGGCCGCAUCCUGGUCGGGUCCAGGCUUCCGGCGUACUCGUACGCCGAGUGCACCCUCUUCUGGCAGGGCAUCACCCGACGACACACAAAGUUGCCGACCACGCCUAGCCCGUCCAAGCGCCACCAGUCGAUCAGCUUCAUCAGGUCCGCCACUUGGCCGUCGAACUCUGGGCGGUCGGUCUAGCUUACCCUCUUCUCGGGGAUGUACCCCACUUCGCAGAACGUGGAGCUGCCCGGUUCUUCGCUGACGUAGAACCACUUCCUGUACCAUUCGAUUAAGGAAGUGUUCCAUGGACAGUGCAGAUAACGGUUCUUCAUCCCGUCGUGAAGAUUGAGGUAUACUCCACCUGCAUUCUUGGAGCCUCCAACCGCUCCCUUCUUUCUUAAACAAAAAAGAUAACGAAAGAGAUCGAAGUGCGGCUCUAUGCCAACAUAGGCCUCGCACAGAUGGAUAGAAGUGGAGAUGAGAAGGAUUGAGUUCGGGUGCAGAUUGCAAAUCCCGAUCUCAUAAUACAAAAGAAGACCGUGAAGAAAAGGAUGAACAGGAACCCUAAAACCCCUCUUAAGGAAAUCCUCGAAUACUACGAUCUCACCGGCGUGGGGGUCGGGGUAGCUCUCCCCCUCCGGCGCCCUCCAGCCGCCGAGCUCCGGGCUGUGCAGUAGCCCCAUAUCGACGAGGUCACCGAGGGACUUUGUGGUGCUGCGAGAUUUCUUCCAUUCCUUGGCCAUCAGCUCGGCCCUCUUCUUGGAGUCGCUCUUCGCCAUUGGAGAUGCGGGAGUGGUUUCGAGCUAGGAGGGUGCAGGUAGUUGAAGAAGGCGAGAGCGGAAAGCUUGAAGGCGAUGGCAAAAUGAGUAAUGCGGAGUUAAUGUCAGGAUUUUAUAAACCGCAACUCCACCCCCCUCCCCACUUCCCGCAUUCUUGUGAAGUGGGCGGGCCAUACGGCGGACGCGGCGUUUCGGUUUUCAAUAAUUAUCGACAAUUAAUGUGGCAGAGUUUUCGUGCAAAUUAAUGGUUUCCUUUUCUCAAACCGCGCAAAGGGCGGCUGCACAGUUGCCAGGCGCAACUUUUCAUGCAGCCAUCUGACAUCCCGUCAGGAGGUCUCGUCACGUCAACUUUUAUGUGGAAAAUUUUUCAAAACAAGCAGACAAAAAAUGGUAGAGUCAACAAUCCGAGGACUGCACCGACCACCGAGCACUUGAUGCUCAAGAACUGGUCGCCCAGUCUAUAAAAUCGGAAAUUCAAGGACUGCACCGACCACCGAGCACUUGAUGCUCGGGGACUGGUCGCCCAGUCUAUCAACUCGGCACUUCAAGGAAUGCACCGACCACCGAGCACUUGAUGCUCAGGGACUGGUCGUCAAAUUUGUUGGGGAUGCACCGACCACCGAGCACUUGAUGCUCGGGGACUACAAGGCUCAUACUUCGCCUUCCAGCAAGCUCGGGGACUACAUCGGUACGAUGCAUCUGGCGAUGCAUCUCAGUUUCAAAACUACUUUGAGGAAUUUUCUUUUGACCCUGGCACCACGUGCCUACGUCACCUACUACCAGGGUCGGGGACUAAGUGGGCACACUUCACCUUGCGGUGAAUAUGCUUGCUUCUUUGAGGAUCCGUACUUUUCAAAAAAGUAAAGUGGGCACACUUCACCGGAAAAGAAAUAUUUUUUCUCAAGAGCACCAUGCAUUCUUCGAACAAUUGGCUUCUUCCAUGAUGACGUUGAUCAAAUAUGUUUAGAUUUGGUCAAAAUACCAUCGCAAUUGUCUGGGCAAUUUUCAUGCUGAUUGAAGAUGUCAAGUUUCAUUGGUCGAAGAAGCUCAAGACGGCGUGUUACUUCACAAUACAUGGUGCUCGGGGACUAGCUGUGGGGGUAUAAACCCCUAUACCCUUACGGCUAGACUUGGGCCAGGAGGCUUGGCCCAUUACGAGAUAAGCUCAAGGCUUGAUCCGACAGCUUGGAGUUUCGCGCAGGGAAACAAGACGUGGAGAUCAAGCAGGAUUCUAGUCGGUUAGAAUAGGAAUUGAUAUCGAACUAUCUAUGGCAAUUGUAACCGACUAGGAUUAGUUCCCAGAUCUGUAACCCUGCCCUCCGGACUAUAUAAGUUGGGGCAAGGGACCCCCCUAAGACACAAUAUUCUCUCAACACAAAUCAAUACAACUAGACGCAGGACAUAGGUAUUACGCCAACUCGGCGGCCGAACCUGGAUAAAAAGCUUGUCCGUGUCUUGCGUCACCAUCGAGUUCGUAAUUUGCGCACCGUCUACCGAUAAACUACUACCGUGGGUAUACCCCAAGGUAGACUGCCGACCAGCUUUCGUCAACAGUUAGUCAGAUGCACCCUUUCUCCCAGUGGUAAAAAUAUAAAUACGGUAACUCUGGAUAACUGUCGACGAAAGCUAGUCGGCAGUCUACCUUGGGGUAUACCCACGGUAGUAGUUUAUCGGUAGACGGUGCGCAAACUACGAACUCGAUGGUGACGCAAGACACGGACAAGUUUUUUAUCCAGGUUCGGCCGCCGAGUUGGCGUAAUACCUACGUCCUGCGUCUGGUUGUAUUGGAUUGUGUUGAGAGAAUAUGAUGUGUCGCUAGGGGGGUCCCUUGCCCCUCCUUAUAUAGUCUGGAGGGCAGGGUUACAGAUCUAGAAACUAAUCCUAGUCGGUUACAAUUGCUAAGGAUAAUUCGAUAUCAAUUCCUAUUCUAACCGACUAGAAUCCUGCUUGAUCUCCCAUCUUGUUUCCUUGCGCGAAACUCCAGGUUGUCGGAUCAAGCCUUGAACUCGUCUCGUAAUGGGCCAAGCUUCCUGGCCGAAGUCUAACCGUAAGGGUAUAGGGGUUUAUACCCCCACAGCUAGUCCCCGAGCACCAUGUAUUGUGAUGUAACACGCCGUCUUGAGCUUCUUCGAUCAGUGAGACUUGACGUCUUCAAUAAGUGGGAAAGUCGCCCAAACAGUUGCAACGGUUCUUUGACCAACUCAAAAGACAGUUGAUCAACAUUGACAUCGAAGAAGCGAGUUGUUCGAAGAAUGCAUGGUGCUCUAAAUUAAAAAAGAUUUCUUUCCUGGUGAAGUGUGCCCACUUUACUUUUUUGAAAGGUAUAAACAUCAAAAAAGCAAGCAUAUUCACCGCAAGGUGAAGUGUGCCCACUUAGUCCCCGAGCCUGGUAGUAGGUGACGUAGGCACGUGGUGCCAGGGUCAAAAUAAAAGUCCUCAAAGAAAUUCUGGAACUGAGAUGCAUCGCCAGAUGCAUCGUACCGAUGUAGUCCCCGAGCUUGCUGGAAGGCGAAGUAUGAGCCUUGUAGCAAGGUCUAAAAAAUUGAAUUUACCAGUCCGUCUGCAAUUGAAUAGACUAAUCGACCAGUCCCCGAGCGUCGAGUGCUCGGUGGUCGGUGCAGUCCUUUAAAGCGUCUAGCUGAUAGACUGGGCGACCAGUCCCCGGGCGUCGAGUGCUCGGUGGUCGGUGCAGUCCUUUAAAGCUUCCAGCUGAUAGACUGGACGACCAGUCCCCGAGCGUCGAGUGCUCGGUGGUCGGCGCAGUCCUUGAAGUUCCGAGCUGAUAGACUGGACGACCAGUCCCCGAGCGUCGAGUGCUCGGUGGUCGGCGCAGUCCUUGAAGUUCCGAGCUGAUAGACUGGGCGACCAGUCCCCGAGCGUCGAAUGCCCGAUGGUCGGUGCAGUCCCCGGAUUGUUGACUUUCUGGUGUAUGUGUCUUCUUGUUUUUUUUUUGAAAAGAUCUUCCCAGUUAAAAUUGACGUGACGAGGCCUCCUGACGGGGUGUCAGACGGAUGCAUGAAAAGUUGCGCCUGGCAACUUGUGCAACCGCCUUUGCAUGGUUUGAGAAAAGGAAACCAUCAAUUGGUACGAAAAAUCCGCCGCAUUAAUUGUCUAUAAUCAUUGUAAACCGAAACGCCGCGUCCGCCGUAUGGCCUGCCCACUUCCCGAGAAUACAGGAAGUGGGAGAGGUGGAGUUGCGGGCUUAUAAGAGCUUAAUAGGUCCGCCUGUACCGCUUACCCUGCCAUUGCCUUCAAACCUUCCGCUCUCAUCUUCUCCAAUCUCCUGCAUCUUCCUAACUCAAGCCCACAUUCGCACCUCUAAUGGCGAAGAGCGACUCCAGGAAGAGGGCCGAACUGAUGGCCAAGGAGUGGAAGAAGUCUCGCAGCACCACAAAAUCUCUUGGUGACCUCGUCGAUAUGGGGCUUCUGCACGGCCCGGAGCUCGGCGGCUGGAGGGCACCGGAGGGGGAGAGCUACCCCGACCCUCGUGCCGGUGAGAUCGUCGUAUUUGAAGAUUUCAUUAAGAGGGGUUUUGGUGUUCCUGUUCAUCCUUUUCUUCAAGGUCUUCUUUUGUAUUAUGAGAUCGGGAUUUGCAAUCUGCACCCGAACUCAAUUCUCCUCAUUUCCACCUUUAUCCACCUGUGCGAGGCCUAUGUUGGCAUAGAGCCGCACUUCGAUCUUUUCCGGUAUCUUUUCUGCUUGAGGAAGAAGGGAGCAGUUGGAGGCUCCAAGGUUGCAGGUGGAGUAUACCUCAACCUUCGUGAUGGAAUGAAGAAUCGCUACCUGCACUGCCCAUGGAACACUUCCUUGACCGAAUGGUACAGGAAGUGGUUCUACAUCAGGGAGGAACCGGGCAGCUCCACGUUCUGCGAUGUGGCAUACAUUCCUGAGAAGAGGACGAGCUGGACCGACCGCCCGGAGUUCGACGGUCCAGUGGCGGAUCUCAUGAAGCUGAUCGACUGGUCGCGCCUGGACGGGCUUGGCGUGGUUGGCAACUUCAUUUGCCGCCGGGUGAUGCCCUGCCAGAAGAGGGUGCACUCGGCGUACGAGUAUGCCGGAAGCGCAGACCCGACCAGGAUGCGGUCGGAGAUCUUGGAGAAAGCGGAGGUACAACGGCUGUUGAACGAGCUGUUUAACUUCGCGGAUGGGGGCUUCAUCCGUGGCAGUGAUCGGGUGCAAGCCUUCAAGUUAGGACGACCAGCACCAAAGGUAUGUAGCAGUAUUCUGUUUUAGCAUUCGUAUAUCGUCUGCAGUUGACUCAUCUCUGUUGCUUUUGCAGAUCGGCGAUGUCGACCGGUGCACAGUGUAUGUAUCACUGGCACCGGGGAUGGAAAAUCCUGCGGGAGAAGACCCGCCAGAGGAGGACGCUGCUCGGUGUACUCAUUACACCAGCAGUGAAGAGGACCAAGCCCGCCCCAUCCCGACCUCCGAGGAGAGGGUAGCGGGGAAGAGGCCAUUGCCGGCAGAUCCUUUGCCGGCGGAUCUUCCGGCGGAGAGCAGCCAAGCACCGAAGCGUCGUCGGCUCGUGCGGAUCGUUGACGACGACGACGACGACGAGGAGGCUGCGCCGUCGUUGGUCCGACGGCCCCGGGGUCGCCCAGAUAAUGCGCCGGCCGCUACUGAUCGAGUGGCCAGCGACGCCCCUGCACCGCAAGUUGUCGAGACGGGGGCGCAAGUGCCGACCGGCCGGGCGAGGAGGAGGUUCACCGCCACCCACCGUGGAUCAGACCUGUAAGUGUUCGACUUACGUAUUUUUGGACUCCUCUUUGUUUUUUUUUUGAAAUUUGACUUUUGUUCCUGUAGUGCGGCAUCGGAUGUCGACCCCGGCCAAACUGCCAGCCAGGGAACGGGCGAGCCUGCCCGCGGUUCUGGGGAUGCGGCCCCCCAGACCACAGAGCAGCCAACAGCUGCAGUUGCGCGUGGGAGCACCGAGGGGCUCCCGAGCGCGGCACCAACUACGACAAGCAGCCCGACCAGGGCUGGAGAGGCUCCCCCAACUGACUCCUCAGAGAAAGGAAGAUCUCCGACCGCUCCUCCUGCCGGGGGGAGUGAAGUCCCCACGCCGCCCCGAGCAGGAGCCUCUUCGGCUGCGGGCUCCCCAGGUCUGGUCCAAGGGCCAGUAAUACUUGGGACCACCACCGGGGGUGACGCAGCACAGGAGGAGGAAACCCGGGCGGCCUCCGAUGAUGAGGUGGAAGAGAUCGAGGGUCGUCCCCGUGAUGGCCGCCAACACGUGUAUGUGUGGCGCCAACGCGGGGAUCACUUUAUCGGGCAUGAGGAGCUCGCCGAGACCGAAGAGGCCGCCAGGGUGGAGCGCGCGGCCUAGCGCCUCGUCGACGAAGUCAAGGUAAGCGGCUUUUUGUACUGCUGCACAUUCUUUUGCCUUGUCUUGCAUGGUCGUUAUAUGCUUGCUUUGUAGGACGUAAUGAAAACGGCGAAGUACCGGAAACGGUGCUUUGACCAGAUAGAAGGCGUCAUGGCCGAGAACAAGGCCCUUGCCGCGGAGGUAGACCGGUUGCGGGCGGAGGUCGGGGAGAAGGUGGUCGAGAUGAGUGCCGAAAAGGAGCGUCGUCUCGACCUCGCUCGUCGUUUGGCCGACCAGUACCGACUGCAAGAAGGUUAGUCCCACGCUCCGAGCAGCUUCGCGUACUUGUAUAGUUUGCUUUGCUGACCAGUUUAGGAUUCACGCAGACUUGGAGGAGGAGGUGGCGAGCCUCCGACAAGAGAAGGAGCAGCUCAGCCAACAGCUCGCCGGUGCGCUGGAAUCCGGGCGGCGAGCAGGAGAGGAAUUGGGUCGAAAAGACCGGGAGCUAUCUGGUAAUGGUUGCCGCCUUGUUGGUUACUGCCUGCCCCUUUUUAUGCCGAAAAUAACGCUUCGUUUCUUUUGCAGUGCUCAAGGUGAACGCCAAAAAGCACCUGGACGAUAUGACCAAGGACCGGGACUCCUGGAAGGUCAACUGUUGCAGGAUCUGGAAAGAAGUGUCCCCGGUCCUAGACCUGAUCAGUCCCGAGCAGUUGACCCCGGUCGAGAAGGCGCAACGGGCGUGGGACUGGCUCCAGCAGUUUGUGAAGGACGCCGGGGAGUUUGCCGGCGCGCACGUCCUCAGCAUGGUGCGCGCCCACUACCCCCUGGUCGACUUGAGCAGGCUGGAGAAGGGGUACCCGAAGGAAGUCGGCCCGCAGGACGCGGACGAGCUUCGGGGUAGUCUGCUGGACUUGUCGUCGACAAUGAUCGACGACAUCAAUCUGUGCGGAACGGCCACUCCUCCAGACCAGCCGAGUUCAGAUAGGUCGGCCAGGGAGUUGUCGGGCGCGUCCGUUGCGGGAGAUGGGCGGUCGACGCCUGCGGUCUCGACCAGCCAGGCGCCGGUGGCCCCGACCCCUUCGUCCGGGCAGCAGGGCCAGGCGGGUGAUCAGCCCGAGCAGCUAGGCCAAUAAAGUAGUCUGUAGGAAUAGAAUAGUGUCUGCCCGUCAGGGUAUUUAUUGUAAACUUUGUAUGUAAAGUUUGUAAUAAAGUUUACUUUUUGUCAUGACUGUUGUUUUGAGCGCUGUAAAAAUAUCUGAGUGACGUGUCACCGUAUUUGUCUUGGUUGUCGCUAAGGGCAUCCAUUGCAGGAGUUUUGCCGAGUGCUGUGUGUGACAAGGUAUAGGCAAAAAAUAGAGAAUUUCAUUAUCAAAAAUUAUAAGAUACUUACAAAAGAGAGUCAUUAAAACUUUAUGGAUAGAAACGUCGCAGUUUGUCGAUGUGCCAAGAGUUAGGCACUCGUGUUCCGUCUGGGUAUGCCAAUCUGUAGGACGUAGGUCGUGUGACCUCGGUCACCACGAAGGGUCCUUCCCAGGGAGUGGAUAGCUUGUGCAUUCCCUCCUGGCUUGUUUUCCAUCGAAGCACCAGAUCGCCGACCACGAAGGAACGGUCCUUGACGUUCCUGUUGUAGUAUCGCCUGACUGCCGCGAGAUAUUUUGCUGUUCGGAGACAUGAAACUAAACGCUUUUCCUCCAUGCAAUUGAUUUCGAGUUCUCUGGCGUUGUCGGCGGUCGCCUGGUCAAAGUGCUCGAUUCUAGGUGAUCCGAAGUGUAUGUCAGACGGCAGGACCGCCUCUGCACCGUAUACCAUGAAGUAGGGAGACACCCCUGUGUUUCGACUGGUCUGAGUUCGGAGGCCCCAGACCACUGCCGGCAAUUCUUUCAUCCAUCGACCGGGUGCUCUGUCGUUUUCGGUGUACAGCCUUUUCUUUAGGGCGUCAACGAUCAUUCCGUUAGCACGUUCGACUUGACCGUUGGCACGCGGAUGUGCCACUGACACAUAUUUUAUGACUAUGCCUCUGUCGUCGCAGAAAUCCCAAAAAGUGGUGCCAGUAAACUGAGUGCCCAGGUCGGUGAUUAUGCUGUUCGGGAUGCCGAAUCUGUGUAUGAUUUGAUUGAGGAACUCCACAGCCUUCUCGGAGGUUGCCUUGACCAGGGGCAUGUAUUCAAUCCACUUGGAGAACUUGUCGAUUAACACGAAGACAAACUUGAAAUUGCCCGGGGCUGGUUUAAAUGGUCCGAUCAUGUCAAGACCCCAGCAAGCAAAGGGCCAAGACGACGGGAUGGUUUGAAUUUCAUGGGCAGGUACGUGGGUCCUCUUAGCGAAAAACUGACAUCCUUCGCAAUGCCGAACCAGUUUUUCUGCGUCGCCGACCGCGGUUGGCCAAUAAAAACCUGCUCGGAAAGCCUUUCCGACCAGCGUUCUAGAUGCGGCGUGAUUGCCGCAGGAUCCAGCGUGUAUGUCCUCCAAGAGCUUGAUACCAUCAUCUUGGGGUAUGCACUUGAGCAGUACUUCGGAGCUUGCGUUUUUCCGCAUGAGUUUUCCGUCGACCAGGAUGUAGUUCUUUGAUCGUCGGAUGAGGCGCUCGUUCUCUGUUUUGUCCUGAAAGCCUGUCCCGUCUGAUAUGUAUUUGAUGAACGGGGUACGCCAGUCACGCCCGCCGGUUGUCGGAGUGGCGUCAUCUAUGAGCAUUGCCUCGGUGGGUUGCUUAUCGACCAGGGGGGAGCUUACGCUCGGCUCAUGGAUGUCCUGGACGAAAAUACCCCGCGGGAUUUGGGCCCGAGAUGAGCCUAACUUUGACAACGCAUCUGCUGCUUGGUUCUUAUCCCGGACCACGUGGAUGUACUCUAUGCCAUAGAAGUUAGUUUCCCAUUUGCGAAUUUCUUUGCAGUAGAGAUCCAUCUUCUCGUGGGUUGCGUCCCACUCCUUGUUGAGCUGGUUGAUGACCAAAGCGGAGUCGCCAUAGAGGCGCUUGACCCCCAGUUCAACGGCUAGUCGUAUGCCAUGCAAGCAUGCUUCGUAUUCGGCGACGUUAUUUGACGCCGGAAAAAGGAUCCGAAGGACGUAACGGAGUUUGUCCUUGUUGGGUGAUACGAACAAUAUCCCAGCGCCUGCACCGUUGAUGUUCAAGGACCCGUCAAAGAACAUUGACCAGUGGUCUGAGACAUCGGGAACGGAAGGCUCGUUGAGAUCCGUCCAUUCGGCAAUGAAAUCGACCAGGGCUUGAGACUUGACAGUGGUGCGACUCUGGAACUCCAGGGAAAAUGGACAUAAUUCCAUUGCCCAUUUCACGAUUCUGCCAUUGGCAUCUUUAUUGCGCAGGAUGUCCCCGAGAGGGAAACUGGUUGUCACCAGGACUCGAUGGCCGUCGAAGUAGUGCUUCAGCUUUCUUGACGUUAUCAGGAUGGCGUAUAUAAGCUUCUGUAUUUGUGGGUACCUGGCCUUGGACUCGUUAAAGACUUAGCUUAUGAAGUAAACGGGUCUCUGGACCUUGAAGACGUGACCUGGUUCAUCUCGCUCGACCACUAUUGCCGUGGAAACAACCCUGUCGGUUGCAGCAAUGUAAAGGAGUAGGUCUUCAUUGGGCUGAGGCGCUGUGAGGACAGGUGGUGAAGUGAGGAAGGUCUUAAGCUGAGUGAACGCAGCGUCGGCUUCCUCUGUCCAAGAAAAUUUUUCUGACGCUUUCAAUAGUUUGAAGAAAGGGAGGCCUUUUUCUCCCAGCCUUGAGAUGAAACGACUGAGGGCGGCCAUGCAUCCGGUUAGCUUCUGAAUAUCCUUGACGUUCUUCGGUGGUCGCAUGUCGAGUACGGCUUUGACUUUUGAAGGGUUUGGUCGUAUGCCGUCGCGACUGACGACGUUGCCGAGCAGUAGACCGGAAGGAACGCCGAAAAUGCAUUUCUUGGGGUUGAGCUUCCACUUGUACCUAUUGAGUGCCUUGAAGGUUCGGUCUAAGUUGUCGAUUAGGGUGCUCGCGUCCCUUGUUUUUACGACCACGUCGUCCACAUAGGCCUCGACGAGGUCAUCGCGAAUCUCGUCGUGGAGGCAUUGCUGGAUGGCCCUUUGAUAAGUGGCCCCGGCGUUUUUAAGUCCGAAAGACAUGGUAGUGUAGCAGUAUGCGCCGAAGGGUGUGAUGAAGGAUGUUUUGAUCUGAUCUUCUUCCUUUAGCGAGAUCUGGUGAUAGCCAGAGUAGCAAUCUAGAAAGGAGAGUAGUUCGCAUCCGGCCGUUGAGUCGACCACCUCGUCGAUGCGAGGAAGACCAAAAGGGUCUUUAGGACAGUGUUUGUUGAGAUCGGUGUAAUCAACGCACAUUCUCCAUUCAUUAUUCUUUUUGCGUACAAGAACCGGAUUGGCGAGCCAAUCGGGGUGAUACACUUCUUUUAUGAAUCCGGCUGCUAGAAGCCGUGUUAUUUCUGUCCUAAUGGCCUCCUUUUUGUCACGAGCGAACCGUCGCAGUUUUUGCUUGAUUGGUCUUGCGGUCUUCGAGACAUUUAAGGAGUGCUCGAUCAGGUUUCGUGGGACACCGGGCAUGUCUGCGGGUUUCCAUGCGAAAACGCUCACGUUGUCCCUUAGAAACCUGACGAGCGCGUCUUCCUAUUUUGGAUCCAGGUUAGCCCCGAUGAGGGCUGUCUUCUCGGGGUUGCCUUCGACCAGCUGCACUUCUUUGUAUUCCUUGGAUUUUGAGUUCUUUCUGGCUGUCUCCUGCUCAGGUAAUCGGAGCUGGUCGGGAGGCAGCUGUGCGGCUUGGUUUGCUGUUUCCGCCAUGCGGAUUGAGAGGUCGAUUGCCUCGGUGAUCUUGAAGCUUUCUUCUUCGCAGGUGUACGCGGUGUAGACGUUGCCUCUGACGGUUAGGACACCCUUCUCCGUGGGCAUCUUAAGGACUAGGUAUGAGUAGUGCGGGACUGCCAUGAACUUUGUCAGCGAUGGGCGGCCCAGUAUGGCGUGAUAGGUCCCGUCGAAAUCCGCGACUACGAAGUUGAUGAACUUCGUCCGAAAGUGAUUGGGUGUGCCGAAUUGGACAGGCAAUGUUAUCUGUCCGAGGGGCACCGAACUUUGACCUGGCAAAACCCCCCAGAAUUGGGCGUCGUAAGGUUUUAGUUGUGCCGGUGAUAUCUUGAGAGCGGGCAGGCUGUUGCGGAAGAGGAUGUCGAUGGAGCUUCCCCCGUCCACGAGCACGCGCUCGAAUCUGAUGCUAUUGAUGCAGGGAUCAAGAAUCAGUGGGAAACGACCCGGCUCUGGGAUAGCGGCCCACUGGUCCUUCCUGCUGAACGAGAUCUCCCUGUGGGACCACGCGGGGAAUUUCGGAUCUGCGAUCAGCCCGUCCGUGCUGUCUAUGUUGAGGCAGGCUCUCUUUAACAGCUUUCUUUCUCGCUUGGACUCAGUGGAGACCUUGCCCCCGAAAAUGGAGUGGACCACGUCGGUGGGGCUGACGUAUUGGUGUCGGGGGUCCCUGUCUUGGUCCUCAUCCUCAUCUUUGUGGUCGUGCCCGUCGCGCUUGUUAUUUUUCUUGGCGGAGUCCUCUUGGGCGGCCCGUCGUGUAUAGAUACUUUUGAGGACGCGGCACUCUUCCAUGGUAUGGUUAGACUUUGGGUGUAGCUGGCACGGUCCCUUCAACGUUUUGUUGUAGUCGUCUUGGUAGUCCCGUCGUCCAUUGGGACGUUUGACCGUAUUUACUUCGUGGUCGUAUUCGCGAGGGCGCUUUCCUCUGAAGUCGUCGCGGCUGUCGCGCCGCCGAUCCCAACCCUCUCGGUGAUCGCGGUUGUCGGAGCGGCGGUGAUUUCUGUUGUCGUAGCGACCACGACCGUCAUCUCGCCGGGAAGGCUGGUCGGGGCCUCUCGCAUCGUCUCGGAUUAGUUUUUCUGCGUCAUCAGCAUCGGCGUAAUUUUUAGCCGUGGCGAGGAGCUCUGCUACCGUUGAUGGGCGCUUACGCAACAGCUUGUUCCUCAGCGCUUCAUGGAAACGCAAGCCCUUGAUAAAGGCUGAUAUGGCCUCGUCAUGAGAAAUCUUCGGGAUUUUGAGGCGCAUAUCCGAGAACCGUCGGAUGUAAUCGCGCAGAGGUUCAUUCUUCCUGUCUCUUAUCCUUUCAAGGUCGUACUUGUUUCCGGGCUGCUCGCAUGUGGCGAUGAAGUUGUCGAUGAAAGCCUGGCGUAGCUCUUCCCAAGAGUCGAAGGAGUCCUCGGGCAAGCCGAGAAGCCACUGAUGACCAGCCUGGUCGAGGACUACGGGGAAGUAGUUAGCCAUGACGUGCUCAUCUCCUGCCGCUGAUCGGACGGCGAUUUCAUAGAGAGUGAUCCAGUUCUCUGGAUUUUCCUUGCCGUCGUAUUUUUUAAGUUUUUCGAGCUUGAAAUUGCGGGGCCACACGACCUGGCGGAGGUGUGAGGAGAACUGUCUUAGGCCCGGAGGACCGUGGGUCGCAUCGUACUCGAUGCGGCGCAGGUUUUCGUGGACUGCUCUCUCUGCGGCGCGCUUGUUGAUGCGGUCCCAGGCAUCUUUGGGAGGGAUGUUGUGGCGGAGAUCCCUGUGUUGAUCUUCUUCUUGGCCGCGUACGCCAUGAAUUUGCUUGAGGCGGCCAUCGGCGUCCCGACCACCAUCGUCGCGCCGCGAGUCCCCUCGACGGUUGUCGGGGGAGCGGCUGCGGUGACGCCUGCUGGGUGAGACCUGGCUACGAUUAGUCUGGUCGGAGGCGGCUUCCGUAUAAGAGACGUCCUGGAAUCUCUUGAGCAGAGUGGUCGUCUGUCCCAUUGCGGCGAUCAGGUGUGCUCGGAUGCUGGUCCGGACUCCCUGGCAUUCGGGGGUGUCAGGAAGCCGAUCCAGGUUGGCCAUGGCGACAGCCACGUUGGCGCUUGGCGUUUUGUAGACUGGCUGGUCCCCGACCAUGUCAAAGGCAUCGUUGAGGUUACUUGGUGGCAUCUAUUGUUGCUCGUCCGCACGCCGUCGGGCGCGAUCGGCGUUACGCUGUUCGCGGAGUUGCCUCUGGUCAUCUGUUUCUCCGUCAACAGCCGGCUCGUCGGCGCUGACAUUGAACACAAUAUCCCCUCGCCGGGGGGGGAAUAUCGGGAAUCGGUCGAAACCCGGAGGGUGUGAAGGAAAAUCCAGGUCGUAGCCCUCGUCUUCGGUGUUUAUAACCUCGGUGGGGACGGAGCCGGUGCUUGAGUUGGUGCUGGAAACCUGGCCGUCCCGUAGCUCUCGGAUUGUCACCAUGUUGACAUGGUGACGAUUGUUCCUUGACGGCGACCAACCCGCCUUGCUGAAAACGGAUUGGACAUGCUGUGAGUAAACAGAGGCCGAGUUGUUCAGGCCGCGAGGAUAGUCUUCCUUUUUGAGCUCGACGGAUCGUCCUGAGGGGGUUGAGGUUAUCGUCAGGGACGUUCCCAGCCGUUCGUGUGUGGCGACACGAGUUGGCCGGCGGGAUUUCGAAAAAUCCGUUCGAGCAGCUUGGUCGGGCCGGCGCAGAACUCCAUCUAUUAGUUGGGAGACUUCGAGUAGCUUGGAGUCAGCGCGAUCGAGCGCUUGGAGGAGGUCCGAGCAGUCGAUCUCCUUUCCCUUGUAGAGUGGGAACGGUGGUCGGGCGCUUGGUGCCGUCAUGCGUGUGGUCGGAGACGGCGUGAUCUCAGAUUGGAUCUGGAUCUCCUUCGGAACCAUGGUCGCGAAGCCGCCGCUGCACGUCGUCCACGUGAUCUGGCCGACGGUGAACGUGAGGCCUUCGGGCACGGUCGCGGAAGCUGGGAUCGUGACCAUCUUGUUUGCCGAAAAAGUUGCACGCACACCCCCUACCUGGCGCGCCACUGUCGACGAAAGCUAGUCGGCAGUCUACCUUGGGGUAUACCCACGGUAGUAGUUUAUCGGUAGACGGUGCGCAAACUACGAACUCGAUGGUGACGCAAGACACAGACAAGUUUUUUAUCCAGGUUCGGCCGCCGAGUUGGCGUAAUACCUACGUCCUGCGUCUGGUUGUAUUGGAUUGUGUUGAGAGAAUAUGAUGUGUCGCUAGGGGGGUCCCUUGCCCCUCCUUAUAUAGUCUGGAGGGCAGGGUUACAGAUCUAGAAACUAAUCCUAGUCGGUUACAAUUGCCAAGGAUAAUUCGAUAUCAAUUCCUAUUCUAACCGACUAGAAUCCUGCUUGAUCUCCCCAUCUUGUUUCCUUGCGCGAAACUCCAGGUUGUCGGAUCAAGCCUUGAACUCGUCUCGUAAUGGGCCAAGCUUCCUGGCCGAAGUCUAACCGUAAGGGUAUAGGGGUUUAUACCCCCACAAUAACCUUCCGGGUGAAAUGCUCACCGAUAUCCGUGCGCUUGCGGAUCAUUUCCUUAUUGCGUUACCAAAUAUCAACAAGCAUUUCUGGCGUCGUUGCCGGGGAGAAAGACGGUUUGCUGAGAUAACUUUGAGUCUUGCUAUUAUCUUGUAUUAUACUUUUAUACUUUUAUUCUUUUAUCUUUUUAUUUUUAUCUUUAUGGAUAACUCAAAUUCCAUACCUAUUAUUGAAUUCUUUGCACCUUCGGAGACCAGCCAUAGAACAUGGGAGUCAACAAGUCCUGCCCCUAAUUAUGAUCUGUGUCCGGAGUUGAUUGCAAUAGGUCAAAACCAACCCUUUUCUAUAGCCGAGGUCCUAUCUUUUAAUCAAGAAGAUAAUGCACUUUUAGCUACACCGAGGGAAUCUGUUAAUCUUUCUAUAAAUUCUGGUUUAGACCUAGCCCUACAACACCAUGUUUUUACUGGAUAUUUUCAUAUUGGUCUUACUCAUAUAACCUUUGGUAGAGUCUUUCUUUCUUUAUCUAUUAGUAAAUGAAGGUAUGUCUUCAUUUGUGGAUAUCCUUCUUGUACUAGUCUUCAUAGAAAAAUCUUAGAGAUAGAGAAGGAACCAUCUCCCAGACGAGGAAAGGAAGUUUUAAUAGCCGAUUUCCAAACAUUUCAAUCCCAUGAUUCGGCUAUCCAACCCAUCCUUGAGCUUAAUAGUUUCUACUAUGCUCUUGAACCUCUCGAUAAUCCUAUGAAUCUUUCUAGACAUCCCAUGCAUAAGAAGGAGGAUCGAGAAGAGCAACAUCAAUGGCUAGAGGGCAUUAAAAAUCCAUGUGCUAUCACCAUUGAAUGGAUGGAUAAAACAAACUUGAGAGACAAUCCUAGAGGAAUUUUAAGCAUUCAUGAAGAAUCAUCCUUGGAGUUUGAGAAUGAGAGAAACAACAGUGAGCAUGGAAGUUAUUUCAUAAAUACCUUACCAAGUCCUUGCUCAUAUAAAACAUCUCCCCAAUCAAAUUGGUCUCUCCAACAUCACCACAUUUGAGAUCUCCAACGCUCUCUUCCUUUCUAUUUAUAAAAACUUUAAAAGAGCGGUUGUCGAUGCAUAUGUCUAUAAUAAAUAUUGCAGAUCUCGUUGAGUUGAUCUUUAUAGGUCAGCGUCGGAGGGGAAACCACUUUGCCGACAUGAAUUGAUGGUUUCCCAAGCACAAGCUUAGUGUCCUAAAACAAGCACUUAUCAGAUCGUAAUAUGAACUUUUAAUUAUUUGCAACAUUGCCUUAUGUAUUGAGCAUAUAAAGAUAAUUGUAGAAAUAUUUCUUCAGGUAUUCGUGUCACUAACCUUUCUAGGAUUGGAGCAAGAAGAUCCGAGGAAAGACAAGCGCAAGGUAUGCUCAACUAAUCAUCAUGCAACAUUGAAUUAAAUUCAUCCAAUCUUGAAUUUUGCAAAAUUCAAGGUUGGGGGAGUACUUCACAUAAAAACAUCCUUUGCCAUGUUGCUAUGUUGGUUGUUCUUACCUUUGAGACAUGCUCAAUUGAUUAAAUACUAAUCACACUACUUCAUCUCCACUUGAGUAGAUCUCUAUAAAUGCCAUCACGCUACCUUUGUUUAUCCUAGUAAGUGUUAGUUUGGAAGUACUGCACAUACUUCUAUUGGCUUUUAAAUUAAGCAUGGUGCUUAGGUUAAACAGCCUUCCUUAAUCUGAUUAGACAUGGAGUCUAGUUCGGUUAUUGAACUAAAAACUGCUUGUGUAGACAUUGGUAUAUUUUGUUGGACUAACCCCUGCAGGAAAACUUUCAAUAUCAACCUGAGAAGUCCUGAGAUACAAACUCAUUAGAGAUAAAGGAAACACAUGAAAUUUAACGACUUGUACAAGGAAGACAUAGCUCAUAGAGAGAUGAUCCAUGGAAGGAGACAAAGUACACAAACACGAUGCACAACCGCUAAGAAAGGAAAGCUUCCACAAGGUGAUACUAUACCAUCACUCUUCAAGUUAGGUAACAUCUUAAGGUACUUGACUAUCGCUUUUAUAAGCUUCUCCUUGGUUCUGGCAUACACAUAAAUAAAAGAGACAAACAUGUAUGAUCUGUAACUCCAAAUUAACCAACUCAAUUAAUUCAACAUGUUUAGUCCUUUAAUCUUUGUUCUUAGUACUACCUUCAUGAUCUCACACUCCCAAUCAUAUAAGCUAAAAUGUUGCACAUUCAAUCUUUGGGGAGAUAUAAAGAAAAAGACAUAUACAUAGAUAGAUUAUCUUUCCAUUAGGUCGAUCAAUCUGAUCUCACAAAUGUUUUAAAUACUACACUCAUGAUCUUAUUAUCCAUCAACUUUGUCUUGCUCACUAUGCUUAAGGUUAGAGAAGAACAAAUACACUUUUGGUUUUGUUGGUGUUUUCCGCCAACAGGGCCCAUGCACUUGAUCUCUGCCUUGUCUUUAUGAACAGGUACACUUCGAGCAAAACCUGAAGGAGUUUCACAACUCCUAGACUCCACCAAGUGAAGGACCUGGAUCUAUGAGCACAAACACACUGAGCAGGAUAUUGCCAACGCCGCACUUCGAACUACUGGGCAAACAAAGAAUAUAGGUGACACCGUAUCAAGAAGUGCAGAUGUCAAGUUCCACACUUAAUCAAAUGAUGCACCUAAAGGAUGAAGACAGUGAGAAGUCUUGUCCAGAAGACCUAAAACAUUGGAUCCUUGUCGGAGGUGGUCAAGAUCGUCGACUCAAGAUCAAGAAGGACGACCCUGGUGUUCCAAGCAUCGAGUGCACAAUCAACGGAUACUCUUUUCAGAAGAAACUCUACGACACCGGAUCUGACGUCAACAUAAUGGCUGCAGUCACUUAUCAGCUCCUGUAUGGAACCAUGCCCCUACAACCAACAUAUAUUCAGCUCCAGAUCAUUGGCAUGGGAGAAGACGAGUACGAUCCAACCAUCAUCCUUAGAAGACCGUUCCCCAACACUAUCAAAUUUAUCAUCUAUAUUGGAACCGGAGAAGUCCACGUGUACUUCCCCUCUAAGAAGGUACACCGCUAUUUUACUCACCUUAACUAUAUAGUUGAAGACUCUAAGCAGGUCAAGACAAGAAGAAGAUAACGCAACCGCAACCAGAGGAGGCAAAUCAUCAUAGACGGAUGGGCAUACUACGAAGGAGAAGUGGUAAGGUCUGAAGACAUAUAGCUUGAACAGAACUGUCCUGAGGAGACCAUAACACCGAGUCAGGUGUGGAGAGAGAAGAUAGUUACACACGAAGAGAAGGCGCCGCCGGAACCACCGACUACGACACCUAGCGAAUCCCAGGACGACUGAAAACACAAGGAGUCCCAUUCGGAGGACUUAAAAACACCGAACGCCUUGCCAAGAGGUAAACUUGGUAGUUAUCUUUUUCCCUUCAAUUAUUCAAUUAUAGUUUGCCUAGUUAAUCAGGUUCAUGCUAUCUUGAAAAGAAAAUAAAAAUGUUAAAAAAUAGUAAGCCCCAUGUGAGUAUGCUCAUGGCAUAAAAUCCAUAAGUACAUUCACUGUGGUGGCAUAAAAAUAAAAUAAAUAAGUUUUCAUCUUACAAUAAAAAUAUAAAAAUAAUAAGUGCAUGAUCAUGCUAAAUAAGUAACGUUUAUUGAGGAGGCUCAACAUGAUAAAGGCUAGAUAUUUAUGCUAACACUUAACCAGUUCCACAAAGCUUUGUUGUCUAUUUGAGCUCCACAGAAUUUAAGGAUCAAAGAAGACUAGCAGACGGAGGACAUCCUAAUCGCUGUCAGGGUGCUGCCGACUUUCAAAUACACCUCCAUCACCUGCUAGCUACAUCAGAAGAAAUUACGUCAAAAUCCAGCUUGGGAGAGAACACCCCCAUUUAUCCAGCUAAGUGUUUCUACUCGCGUUUAUACUUUACUCAAAUAAUAAAAGAUGCAUAAUCAUGAAAACCCAAAUAAAGAUUUUGUGCUUAUAUAUAUAUAUAUAUAUAUCUUUGCUUAGUUUGCUAAAUAAAUAAAUAAAUAAAGUUUGCUAUGAACCCUCAUGAUAAACUCUCACAUGGAAAUGAUGAAUAGUUGCUCUGCCAUGACUAGUUUUUAAAAUUGAAAUCCCUCUCAAGCUUAGGCAUGACUGUUAUGAAGUAAGAUUUGCUCUAAACCUGAACUUGUGGGAAGAGUACUUGAUCUAAAGUCUAAGUCGUUAACAGAUAUGAUAUGGGAAGGUUGAGCUGUUGUUUAUCUGUUCCUAGAGAUGCUAGAAUUCUAGAGAAUUUUAUCUUUGAAAAAUCUUUAAAAUAACACAUGAUGAGUUUCUAUAUGAUGAGAGUUUAAAUUCCUACCACGGCCAUAUAUACAUCCUUGCUAGACUUUGAGCCACAUAUUUACUUUUUACUGCUUAUGAGCAUUGAGUGUGGUCAAGUUGUGUAGACCCUUAGGAGCUUGUCAUGUGGUUAAAAUCAAGAUUCACUUGCACGUUCACUCAUACAUGCUACUUCUACUCCGGAUGUACCAUCCACAUAUAUCCACUCAUUUCUAUCUCCAGAUUCACCCAAAAUUAUUCUACUCCUAAUCUGGGAGAGAAUAGCCAAAAACUUUAUCCUAUCCCUGUUAUUCCCUGUGAAAUAAAUGCUCGAGUUAUCUUGGUUACUACCACUUGCUAUAUUAUUUAAGGAGAUGAGUGCUCUAAAAAAAGAAGAAAAAAAAGAAAAAAAAUACGAGGAAAUAAAAAGGGGCAAGUGCCCGGAACCUCGAAGAAAAAGAAAAAGUGAGACGAGAGGUAAAAAUGGACAAGUGUCUGACAGUAGAAUUAGGGGUACAAGAUACCCAUCUGAGAGAAAAGAAAAAGAAAAUAUAGAGCAUCUCAUUCUCUCCAAAAAGCUUCAAAGUGCAAGAAAGGUAUGUAUCCCCUCAAAAGAGCAAAAGUAGUAUUAGACUUUCACCAUUAUUAUCACCAUCAUCACCAUACACCAUUCAUUCGCCACACAUGCACAUCUUGAUUUGACUCAUUGACUUAUUUCUCUGGAUCCAUGGUUUGACUAUGCAAUAAAUGUCUUGUAAGUAUGUAUUAGCUGUCUCCCACAUAUGAGCUCCAGAUAUCAAAACCUUAUUAGAGUAGGGUGAGAGAGAAGGCAAUAUCACUAUGCCUCAUACCACAAAUACUACAUACUUUGAGAGAAGGCAUAUACCAUUACUGCCUUGGCAAGGAUCCACAAAUACUACAAAAGAGAGAUUUGAGAGAAUCAUAUAAGGAAUCUCUGAGUUUUAUUUGAAAAUCUGUAAAAACUCCAGAGCUAUAGCUGAUCAAGAAUAAGAGACAUGGCGCUUGACUUGACCGUUCUAUCUUUUAACUGCUCAAGACACAAGUGACGGUUACAAGCCCCAUGGUGAAAGGUAAAAUGAGUAAGUUUUAAGUCUUAACAGUUUAUUCUACUCAGAGAUGAGAUCUCGCUUGAAUGUGUGUGUACUUUUAAGGCAUGAAACCACUGCAGAAACUCUUGAGUUCACCCUUGCUCAGGGACGAGCAAGAGGUAAGCUUGGGGGAGUUGUUGACGGUCCUUAAGUACCAAAUAUAAUCAUCAAAUAAAUAAAGAAAAGGAUCCAAAUGCAACCAACACCCAGACUUAGGGUUUUAUCUGACAGAAUUCCACGAGUUUUGGUGUUUGUCUAUUUCUGCAGGGGGUUAUCAGGAAAUAUGUAAGAAAGGCCCACACGUCGGGAUUACAUAGAGAUAUCAACACACCGCGCGAUUUUCUACCAUCUAGAAGACUCCAGAAGCCACGUGAAGAAAGCGGAGGCCGAAAGGCGCCAGUCCCAGGGUGCCCGCCCUAAGGACCUGGGCGCCCGCCCCCCUCUGGAUGCCUUUCGGGACUCUCUUCGCACACAAUGUUCCACCGACCUAAUGGAUCAAAGAUAAUGUAGUACCACCUCGCCUACCGACCCAAAAAAGCAUAGAGGAGGAGGACUAUAUAAGGAGACCCCCUGGCCCCUGGAGAAGACAAGAAGUUAUCAUAG
rnacentral:lncRNA from 1 species